AUGCUAGCUUUGGCAGUACAUAUACUAAAACUGAAAUGAUACAGAGAAGAUUAGCAUGGCCCUUGUGCAAAGGAUGACAUGAAGAGAGAGGUAAGGAAGGGAGGA